AAACAACUACCGGUGUAUCCACAACUCAAGGGCCAACAACCAUCCUGGUACCAUCAACGAAUGGACUAACUAACAGUACACCAACGACCACUCAUGGACCAACAACUGCAGUUACUUCAGUUCCAUCGCCAGUUGUGUCUAUUGAAGCAACUAUUGAGGAACCUUUUGUUCAACAAUUUAAUGAUCCCAACAGUGAACAAUACCAAACUCUUCAAACACAAGUGAUAUCAAUGUGUGACUUCAUUUUCUUUGAAACGUUUGGAGGUAUUUUCAUCAGAACCAUUGUUAUUGGAUUCAGGCCACAAAUGGGAAACACUCAAGUAGAGGUUGAGCUACAGUUCAACAAUUCCGUAUCGACUGAUCAAAUUCCAGAAGCUGAUGUGGUGGUAGACACAUUGGUACAGGCUGUAAAUAGUCCC